GGCAGUGCUAACUAGGAAAAGCUCUCCAGAAAGACAUAGCAGGAAGGAGACAGGGAGAACGCAUACACGUUUCUACAGUUCUGAGCCAAGAGUGAGGAAGGCUGAACAGGAAACUGGACAGGACAGACUCGUGCAUGAAAUGGCAAAGUGAGAUGUGCACAGUGUGUGCAGAAAGCAAAAUUAAAGACAAAGUUGCCUGUGACCAUAAUGGAUAAAGAUAGGAAAUACAACAAAAAAAGCAAAUAGAAGCAGAAAUAAAUGUACUGUCAUACAAGUGACAUUCCUGAGGCAAGGUGCCUGACAGGGAAUGAGGACAAAAAGCAGAGUGUGAAGCUUGAAGAGCUUUCAGGCCCAGGGCUGCACAGAAGCUGGUGUCAGGAGCAGUGAACACUUCUGCUAGGACACUGCUCUUCCAGAGGACCCACGCAUGGUUCCUGGCCAUCUCAAAACAACGCAAAAGACUGAGACAACAGAAAGGACAGGAGGAUAAGUCUGAUGAUGGACGCCAGAUACUCAACAGAGCUGUUCAGAGAAAGGGACAUGACAGGUAGGUAGACACACUGGUGACCAUUUUCUGAAACAUGGCAAAAACAAAGACCCAAGGCUUCCCUGCUCUGUGGGUGGUGCUCGGAGCCCAUUUCACUCAUUGGAUUUUACAUGAAUUUCAUACUCUGUCAUAUGGAAGAUCACCUUUUAAUUUAACAAACUGAAUUAAAAAAAAAAAACAAAAGCCAAAAAACC
ensembl:antisense Gm42529 predicted gene 42529